UUUUUCUUUUUCCUUUUGUUCAGUUGUAUCAGAACAGACCAAGGAAAAGCAGGAGACCGUUGGCGGCUUUUCUUCCAGCGUUGGAAAAUUUUUUAUUACGGGGCUGUAAGGAAGAACCAAUCUGCGAGCAGCGCUCCAGAUAGUGAGAUAGACUCACGUACCAUCAGGUGGUUUAACUUGGCAUCUGACCGGGGAGGUGGCCGCAAAGACCGUGCCAAGACUAAAGAAGCAUUAACCACGGCAUCACAACAUUCCACUUAGCAGCAGCGGCUGACUUCAUAAAGAAGUGGCACGAGGAAGUGGAAGGGACAGCAGGCAGUGGGAGAGGUCAAACUUAAUUAUUUGAAGUUUUGUUUGUUUUUUUGUUUGUUUUUUUUUUGGGGGGGGGGGGGGGGUCACAGUUUGGUUGUGAAUAAUGUUGGUAUUGUUGCUAUUAAGGUUAAGGUUGUUAGUUAAUUGUUUAUUCCUGUUAAUUGUUCAUUAUGCUGUUUUACUUUUCUGUUGUGAUCUUUGUAUUUUGAAUUUGAAUUUUAAGAUUAUAUUAAUUUGUAAAUAAAUAACAAUGUUUUAUGCUACACACCUGGUGUUCUUGAGCCUUACUGCUUGGUCCCUGACAAUUACAUUAGUUAUGCUUCUGUUACACUCUAAAUUACGGGUUUAAAAGGACUUCGUCUCUUCUUCAUAUGCCAUAUGCUAUUGUCAUAUGACAUAAUUACACUAUUUUAUAUUUACUCAGUUUACACUCAACAUGCACAGGUAAACCCAAGUGAUGUCAUGUCGCGCUUCAUUCACUUUUUUCUGGAGUUAAUCCACCGUGAGUAGAGUACACUUCAUUACAGAUUUUGACUGAUGAGUGUACAGUGAACGACCAACAAAGCAGCAUCUCCUGUCAUAACUUAUGAUUUCUGUUUUUUGUUUUUUUUUUAAACAACCAGUUAUGAUGAUGCAACCACAGUUCUAGAAAUUUAUAUCCAGAGAUACUUUUAUUAGUUUGAAUUUAGUUAUGGAAAAGAUAAAGGUUAGCCCAGAACUAAUUCAGAUACAGCAAAUAUUUGAACAAAAUGGCUAGAAAGUGAUCCGAUUUGGAGCUGGCCGAGUGCCGGCCCAGAUAAGAAAGGACGCCGGCCCGGGUCCAUUUUACAGAUCUGGCCCAGAAUUUAUGGAAGCUCUGGGCCGUAUCCAGUACAGAACUGAACCGGAUCUGGCCCACCUUCGGACAAAUGACUACAAAAUAAUCUCAUCUGUUCUGGAGCUGGCCCGGUGCCGGCCCAGAAGUGAAAAAACGGAUCUGCACCGUUAUUGGCCUGUUGUGCCAAAGGACACCGGCCCGGGUCCGUUUUACAGAUCUGGCCCACAACUUAUGGAGGCUCUGGGCCGGAUCUGGGCCAUAUCAUUUUUGCUAUCUGGGUAAGUACAGAGGUAUGCGAUUUGAGACACACCAAGAGAGAGGGAGAGAGAGUAGUUGGCAGUUACACGUUUAGUUUGGCAGCAAGUGCAUUUAGUGCUAAAUUACUUAGCAGCAAGAUGGGUGCUAGAAAAAAGAGGAAAGGUGGAGCAGAGAGGGGAAGCGAGAGAGAAAGAAGGGUAGAUAAACAUGCUAGCUAGCUAACGUUUGCUAGCUAGCUAACGUUUGCUACCUAGCUAACGUAAAUAAUGUUACUGAUGCAUCAUCAUUGUUCCCUGUCAAUGUUAAAGCAGCCAAGAAACUGGACAAUCAAUGGUAAAAGUGGUAGUUCCCUUUCUGAUUUCCUCAAAAACAUUGAUGGCAUAAUUAGCAUAUCUAGUCUAAUUAAUGUGGUCAAUAUUAUUUGAAAAUUCAUUCAUUUUGGUAAAAAUCAGUGAGUUCAUACUUUGAGCUCAUAAUUUAAAAUUAUUGAGACAACACAACGUCUUCUGUCACACUAUUCAGGCUAUUGUAAUUUAUUGAAACUUACAGAUUUAUGUUAUUUAGCCUAAUGUUUGUGUUGGUUAAAGGGCUAUUUUAACCUUUGAUGGAUAACUGUUAGUGUAUAUCAGUAAACUGAGGAGGGUAUUGUGCUCUUGCUCUGUUCUUUGACUAGGUGGAGACAGUUGUUAACUGUAUUAUAUUGGUACAUUAAAAGAUAUGGUGUGCUGUGCUGUUGCUUGUUUCUUUUUGAAGGUGGAGAGAGUAGCAUCGGUGCCACAGUAGCACAGAAGCACACUACUUCAGAGCAACCUGCAGGUGGAGAGAGCUGCAUGUGGCCACAUUCAUUUAGUAGUAUAAACGCAAUGUGUCCUGGGCGACAUUGAAGGACUGCCUACUCAACUGACAUCCUCUAUUUUCUGGCAGACUAGACACAGGAUCCUCCGUCCAAAGCUGUUCAACUUGUUUGAUAACAGGAUAAAUAUUUCAUGUGAAUUAAAAACAUAACCCACGUCCCAUUUUUUGCUGUUUUUCCUGUUUCCCUAACCAGUUUCCCUCUUCAAAUCGACAAUAAGAAUAGAUAUUAAACCAUUAAUUUUUCGCUCGUCUGUCUAAAAAAAUAUGUCAGAAGCUAAAUGUUGCUGGAUAGUCUCCUCUGUCCUGUCAAGUUGCUGCACUGCUCGACAUAAUGGAGCUCGGGAUUUAUCAGGACAGCUGCUUUGGAUGUGUAGAAGAACACUUAGAACAAUUAACAUUAGAUCCUGACCCGUGCUGUUGGUAUGUCAGAGAUUUAAAUAAUCAAUGAAGUAAUGCUGUUGUGUCUUGUGUGUAAAGGCGCACAGUGUCUGAAUGGAGAGCUACGGGGAGAUCGCUGCAUAACGGAUUCGGACCCCCGGUCUGGUUAAUAACGAACAAAUUUGGUCUUUGAAAACGGAAAUGAUGUCCGUGUUUAUUUGCAUAUAGAGCGGGGAAUUGA